CCUAUUAGCAUUAUAAUUGACCAAAGUUUAUACGUUAACAAGUUGAGGAUUAAAACACCAGUGAUUUGAUAUUUUGUUCUCACUCUCUCCCGACGGUAGUUGGGGAUUAAACUCAUAUUACAAGGAAAUAUACCUUCAUAUAAAGUUUGGUCACUAUUUUCGACAGUUUGAGUUAAUAGUCAAGACGUAACGAGAUGAAACAAUUCGUUGUCGUACUCGCCAUUUUGGCCUGCUUAGCUCUCACAGAGGCUGCUCCAGCAGAUAUAAAGAGAUCUAAGCUACUGGCUGUAUUGGACUUUGGAGUCAAUCUUGAAGCAAACGAAGUAAACUUUGAUGAAGGAAGCGGAGUAAACUUUCAAGG